UACGAAGGGGGCUAGCGUUGCUCGGAAUCACUGGGCGUAAAGCGCACGUAGGCGGAUUGUUAAGUCAGGGGUGAAAUCCUGGAGCUCAACUCCAGAACUGCCUUUGAUACUGGCGAUCUUGAGUCCGGGAGAGGUGAGUGGAACUGCGAGUGUAGAGGUGAAAUUCGUAGAUAUUCGCAAGAACACCAGUGGCGAAGGCGGCGACCUGGUCCGACACUGACGCUGAGGCGCGGAAGCGUGGGGAGCAAACAGGG
rnacentral:rRNA from 1 species